rnacentral:rRNA from 1 species
UACGUAGGGUGCAAGCGUUGUCCGGAAUUAUUGGGCGUAAAGAGCUCGUAGGCGGUUCGUCGCGUCGGCUGUGAAAACCCGGAGCUCAACUCCGGGCCUGCAGUCGAUACGGGCGGACUCGAGUUCGGCAGGGGAGACUGGAAUUCCUGGUGUAGCGGUGAAAUGCGCAGAUAUCAGGAGGAACACCGGUGGCGAAGGCGGGUCUCUGGGCCGUAACUGACGCUGAGGAGCGAAAGCGUGGGGAGCGAACAGG